rnacentral:tRNA from 1 species
GGGGUUGUGGCUCAGCGGUAGAGUGCUCGCCUCGCAUGAGGGAUCCUGGGUUCGAUCCUCAGCACCACA